GUGUACGUAGCUCAUUGGGUAGAGCAGAUGACAGUAAUCAUCCGGUAGCAGGUUCGACUCCUGCCGUAGACA
rnacentral:tRNA from 1 species